GUCUGGGGCUAACACAGCACACCAGUUCAGACUUGAUGUUUCCUUAUUAUUUAUGGUGCUAUCAGCACAGCUUCUCAGUUCAAUCCUGGUCUUAAAUCAGGGAUCCCAUCACAGAACCUAAUGUGAGAGAAAAUCAGAUGUACCAGGAGCCUCCUUUAUUUUUCCUCCCUGGCUUGUCAAGCAGUCAGAAAAUGGAGACUCGACAUUAAAAGGUCUGAAUUGUAAUGGCUGAAUGUUCUAGAUGGCUGUUGGUCCCCGGAAUCAACAGGAAGCGAUGAGCCCUUUGAUAACAGGUGCUUCUGGGAGCAGUCCCUGCUAGCCAGCUUAGCUUCAAAACAGAGCAAUGCUAGAAAAGACAAGGACUGGAGGCUGAGAAAGGUGAGCCAGCGCCAUGAGGAGUGGCUGCCUCUUGAAUCCUGUCAGUCUCCGGCAGAUCCGAUUACAUCUGGGGCCCUUAAGAGUACUUCAAGCAAACGGCGCUGGUCUAUUUUAAUCCUGCUCCUUCUAGAAACCAGAAACUGUAAGGAGAGUCUUCCUGCUGACAGGUGGCUCCAUAAAAGUCGUCCAUCUGCUGCUAAUUAUGGCAGAAAGAAAAUUCACAGAGCCGAGUUUUCAGUUUAUUUGCUAAAGAUCUCCAAAGGUGUAACUGUCUUCCCAGAUCACAAGGCCAUUCACAGCAUUACAUCUAGAGCGCUUGUUAAUUAUUUAAAUAAUUUACAACCCGGGGUGGCAGCGAGCAUUUAA
rnacentral:lncRNA from 1 species